AACGUAGGAGGCGAGCGUUAUCCGGAUUUACUGGGUGUAAAGCGCGUGCAGGCGGCUUCGUAAGUCGUGCGUGAAAGCGCUCAGGCUCAACCGGGCGAGGACGUGCGAAACUGCGAGGCUAGAGGCAGGUAGAGGCGUGUGGAAUUCCGGGUGUAGUGGUGAAAUGCGUAGAGAUCCGGAGGAACACCAGUGGCGAAGGCGACACGCUGGGCCUGACCUGACGCUAAGACGCGAAAGCAUGGGGAGCAAACGGGAUUAGAUACCCUAGUA
rnacentral:rRNA from 1 species